AAAGAAAAAAAAAGAAAAACACAUAAAAAUAUAGAGUAAAUAGCCUAAUCCUAAUAAACAUCGCGUUUCUCCUUCUAUCUAUUCAAGUUUUCUAUUCUAUUGUUCCUCGCUUUCUUUUC
rnacentral:ribozyme from 1 species